rnacentral:rRNA from 1 species
AUACGUAGGGAGAGAGCGUUGUCCGGAAUUACUGGGUGUAAAGGGAGCGUAGGCGGGAGUGCAAGUCAGAUGUGAAAUACAUGGGCUCAACCCAUGGGCGGCAUUUGAAACUGAAUUUCUUGAGUGAAGUAGAGGUAAGCGGAAUUCCUGGUGUAGCGGUGAAAUGCGUAGAUAUCAGGAGGAACACCGGUGGCGAAGGCGGCUUACUGGGCUUUUACUGACGCUGAGGCUCGAAAGCGUGGGGAGCAAACAGGAUUAGAUACCCUGGUAGUCCACGCUGUAAACGAUGAUUACUAGGUGUGGGGGGACUGACCCCUUCCGUGCCGCAGUUAACACAAUAAGUAAUCCACCUGGGGAGUACGGCCGCAAGGUUGAAACUCAAAUGAAUUGACGGGG